rnacentral:rRNA from 1 species
AUUACCGCGGCUGCUGGCACGGAGUUAGCCGAUCCUUAUUCAUAAAGUACAUGCAAACGGGUAUCCAUACCCGACUUUAUUCCUUUAUAAAAGAAGUUUACAACCCAUAGGGCAGUCAUCCUUCACGCUACUUGGCUGGUUCAGGCUCUCGCCCAUUGACCAAUAUUCCUCACUGCUGCCUCCCGUAGG